GAUGAACGCUGGCGGCGUGCCUUAUACAUGCAAGUCGAGUGGGUUUAGACCCACGGCAAACGGGUGAGUAACACGUAGGUACUUUCCUUGUCACAGGAAUAACCCUCCGAAAGGAGGGCUAAUACCUGAUGUGAUCGCAAGAUUAAAGGGUAUCCGCAAGGAUUACCGGACAAGAAGAGGCCUGCGGCCUAUCAGCUAGUUGGCGGGGUAAAUGCCCACCAAGGCUAUGACGGGUAGCUGGUCUUAUGAGGAUGAUCAGUCACAUGGGCACUGAGACACGGCCCACACUCCUACGGGAGGCAGCAGUAGGGAAUUUUGGACAAUGGGCGAAAGCCUGAGCCAGCAAGGCCGCGUGGGGGAUGAAGGCCUUAGGGUUGUAAACCGCUUUUACAAGGGACGAAAUUUGCAGGACCCUUAGAAAAAGGGGGUUCUAACUCCGUG
rnacentral:rRNA from 1 species